rnacentral:tRNA from 1 species
GGAGGGAUCGCAUAGUGGUCUAGUGCGGCCGCCUGCUAAGCGGUUACAGGGGGAGACCUCUGUCAUGGGUUCGAAUCCCAUUCCCUCCGCCA